AUUUGGAUGACAACAAUGGUGUUUUUAGUGCAACAAGUAGAAUUUAAAAAAGCAGUCUGGCAGAAGAUCUGAGAAGCAGAAGGUGAAAAUAAAUAAAAUGGAGCAGUGAAGAAUGCAGAAAGAAACAGAAAGCGUUCAAAGGCAUGUAAACGCGAUGAAGGCUGGAGCCAAAUUCAUGUGCAAACAUCUUAGAAGAACUGCUUAGUGAGUCCAUCCAAAAUCCUGCUCCUGAUGAACAGAGGGCUGGUGUUUGCAGAACAAGAAAGCACAUAAUAACACUUGGAAAGCACACAAGCACUCAUGGCCCAGCUCCGAGUGAGGCGACGUUGAAGCACAAA